rnacentral:lncRNA from 1 species
AGUGCAGAACCAAAACUAGAGUGUAAACAAACUCACUGACAGACGGUGUCAGCUCAGCUCAGCCUUUACUAGGGAGGACUGCAGUCACCCUUCAUCCCUACAGCCAUCUGGGCUAAAACACUGGCUUUGGGCUCCAUGAUGAAGAGCCACAAGCAGAGGCUGUGGAGCACUAGUCACACAUUACUGAAGUGUUUGGGAGAAAAAAAUAUCCAGGUCUGGACUUUUGAGUUCAGCUUGUCUUUCAUCCCAAGACUCAGACCAUCAGUAAGAAAAAUACCAGCUGCUGUUUAAGGAGAAAUACAAGAAUUUUUGACUACAAGAUCAAAUAGAACAUCAGAUAAAAGGAG